rnacentral:lncRNA from 1 species
UUGCAUCUGCUGGAAGAUGGUGUACUAAAAGAGUUUCUUAGGAGUAUCAGUGUAGAGUCAUUUUGGCAUUCUGUCCACCUCCCAGCUUACUGAGGACUGAGGAGGGGGCCAAAGUGCCAAACUAGCUCUGCAGCUCUCUCUAUCAGAAAACCUCACAGAUUACUUUGUGUGCGUAUGGAAACAACCUCCAUCUCUACCUCCAACAGAUGGAUAUGUGUAGGGGUAAGAUCUGCGUACACUCUAGUUCUUCUCUAGACCUCACUUGUGAAUUACACUGAGUAUAUUCUUGUUGUUGUUGUUUACCUGUAUCUAUUGGAUAUUAAGGUGUUAUCACUAUUAUUGUGUAUAAAAUUGAUGGUGGCACUGGCAUGUGAUGUAUAAGCUCAUAUAUAUGUGCAAUGGUCAUGAAUCCCAUUCUGUUGUUGUCUGUACUUGUUGUUCUUAGGAUGAAAUUUCCAUUACUAAUUCAAGAAAAGCAAAACUUUUUGCAGAAAUAAUACUACUUGUAUUUCUUAUAUGGAUAAAGAGUCCUAGUUUGAUUAUUUCUGAUUUCUUAUAUAUGGAAUGAUAUUGAAUCGAUGAUUUUUUUGUAACGGACGAACCCAAGGAUCAACCAAAGCCAAGAUCGAUUAUAUUGAUGAUGAGAACAUUGAGAAGACACAGCUUUUGGAUGAUCACAGAGUUUUCAAUUCUGUUGCACUGAACAGUUUUUGGAUGAUACUAUUGUCUUUAUGUGGUUCUACACAGUAAUAAGUAUUUUCAAACAAUUAGAGCCAGGUACCUUUUGUUAUUGAUGUUUAAUCCAUCUUGUUGGAUUAGUUUUACUGAUUAUAUUAUUUGAAUUGAAAUUAGCAACUGGCUGGGGACUUGAAGGUGGAUGAAGAACCUAUUAUUUUCCUGACAUUGAGAAAUUGUUGUCUGGCGAUAGUGGCAAGCUAAGUUUUCUUUGAGUCGGGUCCUUCAGAAACAAUUUCCCUGUCAUCACAUGGUAGUGAUAAGGUCUACCUUACCAUGGGAUUAUACUGGAUUUUUUGUUGUUUGUAAUCUAAAAUCACUAUCAAUGUCAACUAGGAGGAUAUCCUUCAUUUUUUUUCUUGUCCAAAUCUCAAGCAAGUCUGUGUUUAAGAUUCUAAUAACUGUUUACUACAUUUGAUAGUUGCUGAUCCACUUUCGAGUUUGAAGUCCAUGGGGAUAAUAUGUUGUUACGGUGUCAAGUUGAUGUUCCAAAUCUAGUGCCUUCUACAUACAUCAGACAUGUUAUUUAUCAAAGGCGUCUCCUUUGCUGUCUAGUUACAUCAGUGUUGGUUGGCUUCUGUUGUUUUUUGUUAACAAACCUCUUCAGAAGUUGAAUGAUUUUGAUCUUGUCUUGCAUUUGGUAGAAAACGGGAAGAGGCGAUCAUGGCUAAGAAGGUGCUAUUAAACUAAGAACGGUGCAAGCAACGUAUCAUGUUAUAAGUUAUACAAAUCCAUCUCGACUUACAAAGCGUGUGCCUUUUUCAAGUAUUCAAGUGACCUCUGGAAGGUUUUAUUAGUUUAACUCAAAUGACAACUCAGGAGUCAGGACACUCAGAUAACUGCACGAAGCCGUUACAAGUUUUACAUUCAAGCAUAGAUUUCUAGGUAGUAGGGGGAGAAAUGAGGUAGCAAGUAUAGUUAAAGAGGUAACGAAUGGUCAGCUACUCACAAAUAUCAUUUAAAUCACAAGCAUGGGACACAGUGACUUGAAGGAUUCUUCACCACAUAAAAGAUUUACACUUUCAACAGACGGCAACUCCAUACUCAAAUUCACAGUUCGUGGCUUUAUAAUAAUAUCAUUUGUAUUUAAAAUGAAGACUUGACUACAGAAAUGUAAUCCACUACACUAAUUUCAUAUCAGUUUUCAAUAGGACCAUCACUUCAAAAGACAUUCACGAAAAAUAACAAAUGCAAACCAUUUCAUAAAGAAUUUAGAAUCAAAUAGUGAAUACUAUGAUUCUUUACAUCAUGCUGAAGCUGGUUCUUGGCUCAAAUCGGCCAUUUGCUUGGGAGUAGAUAAAACCAAGUUUCUCCACUUUGAUGUAUACUAAAAUGAACAGAGGAAGGGCAGUAGAGUAGUAGGCCUAAGGACCAAGAAAAUAUCAAAAGACUAGCAUCCAACUUACAUUAAUCUAAGGACAGAUAAUUAUUCAACAUUCUAAAGCUGCCAGUAGAUUGCCGCCAAAGAACUCCAUAGAAAACAUAUCUCAUCAACACCAGUUGCAAAUGAC